rnacentral:rRNA from 1 species
CCUACGGGGGGCAGCAGUCGAGAAUCAUUCACAAUGGGGGAAACCCUGAUGGUGCGACGCCGCGUGGGGGAAUGAAGGUCUUCGGAUUGUAAACCCCUGUCAUGUGGGAGCAAAUUAAAAAGAUAGUACCACAAGAGGAAGAGACGGCUAACUCUGUGCCAGCAGCCGCGGUAAUACAGAGGUCUCAAGCGUUGUUCGGAAUCACUGGGCGUAAAGCGUGCGUAGGCUGUUUCGUAAGUCGUGUGUGAAAGGCGCGGGCUCAACCCGCGGACGGCACAUGAUACUGCGAGACUGGUGUAAAGGAGGGGGAACCGGAAUUCUCGGUGUAGCAGUGAAAUGCGUAGAUAUCGAGAGGAACACUCGUGGCGAAGGCGGGUUCCUGGACAUUAACUGACGCUGAGGCACGAAGGCCAGGGGAGCGAAAGGGAUUAGAUACCCUGGUAGUC